GGCUCAGUGGUGGACGGUUAACAUCUGCAUUCUAUGGGGCUGUAUUAAAACUCAGUGCAGGGGAAGCCUGUUCGAUUCGGGCCUGAGCUA